rnacentral:tRNA from 1 species
GCGCGAUAGCUCAGUCGGUAGAGCUGUGGUCUCGUAAUCCAGUGACCCGGGUUCGAAACCAAGUCGAUGCA